GCUAUAGUCAAAAUCUCAGUGUUUGAUUUUCGGAAUUCACAUUUAAAAGCAGCGGUAUAGGUUAUCAAAUGCGAUUAACAAACAUGCACUGCUGACAAUGUGUCAUCACAAUGCCUCUCCAGAUAAGAUAUAAAACACUGAGCGCAGAAUGGUCUAAUAUUGAAACUUAGACGAAUCAGAAGUUUCGUUCUUUGUUGACAGUAACCAACCAGAAUUGAGCUACAGUGGAUAUUCCGAGCUAUAGUCGGUCUGGGGAUUUGCUCUGGAAAAGGCAUCGAAGACAAUGAAACCCGUACUAUAAUUUUUGGCGCGAGCUAUAGUCAAGCUAUAGUCAGGUUUGAAAAUGGCCUUUUAACCAAUAGAAUAUGAGUAUCCACGGUACAUCUCCGCUCUCUGUCCCCUGUAAAGCAACAGUGGACUAUAGCUCGUCUUCACAUCCUGGGUCCCCUGUAAUGUAGCUUCAAAGGCAAGGACCUACUAGGGAAUAGACAGGGACGGCGGAACGACCAAGCGGCAAGAGGGGGGAAGGGGGGGGGCAGGCUUGAGUAAAAAGGCUUUUGAAAGAUAAUUCUCAGCUUCUACAAAUUCAUAUGUAACUGCAAUUUUAUUAUCUGUAGGUAUCUUCAACAUUGGCUAACUUUCGGCACAAGGAAUUAUUUUACAUGUUUUGAGAAGUUCAGAAUUUCAUACGAAUCUCUCUGAUUAUUACAAUUGGCCAGUUUCAAGGGAACUUUAUUAAAAACAACCCUUGCCCCUUCUGCCAAAGGGCAACAGGGGCGGUUGUACCCCCACACCCUCUUCUCUGGCGUCCCUGGAAAUAGAAAAAGGAUGUUCGAAGGGAUAUUUAUGAAUACGAAGCAACUAUAAACACACAUGGUUUAUCAUUUGCCCAUAUAGUGGGCGUGUCUCGCAAGCAAGGAGGGCGUGGUUCCGAUCCCAAAAGAUUUGAGCUAUAGUCACCAAAAAUCCUGGAUCCGCCCCUGGCAUGUGCUUCUUUCACCUCAAAGGGGCCCCGAAAUGUGAAGGCCAUUGGCAGUCAAGCUCAUACGAUGUUAGCGACAAGGCCCAUUUUGAUAGUAACACGGAAUGAGGAAGAAAUUCUAUCUGUAGCAGUAGAAACGAAAAAACAAAAAUUACAAGCCGUUAGAAUAUCGUUGAGUUUUCAACAGAAUCAAAGGAAUAAGCACCAAAUUUGAAAGAUAUUGUAGCACUAAGGUUGUUCUCUCCAAGUACUUCGCCCUAAUAGAGAUCCACCCCCGGUCAAAAAUCAAGGGAUCUGCUGGAAAACCGCAAAGUUCGAAUUUUGGCGAAUAUUUUGACGUCGAGUUUUGCGCAACUUGAGAUGAUUAUUUAGUGAUUAGAAUGAAUCUUUUUCAGGAUGCAGUUGGCCAAACAAUCAAAUUGAAUGUUUGGACGACACAGGAAUGGACAAAUCCUCUGUUGGGAUGGCAGCGAGAAGAGUAUGGAAACAUUAGCAUUGUUAAUGUCGAACCAACUAUGGUAUGGACCCCAGUCUUGAUGCUCUACAACAACGCUGACAACAAGAUGACCAGCCUGAAAGCCUCAAACACCAAGGUGAUAGUCAACAGCUCAGGAUACAGCACAUGGUUUGCAGCUACAUCCAUGAAGGCUUCGUGCAAAAUCAACGUGAAAUACUUCCCUUUUGAUCAACAAUUAUGUCAUUUGAAAUUCGGGUAAGAAGUUUUAAUGUGGCACAAACAGCAGAAACAUAACACGUGUGUCUGAAGUACAGUAAAUUCUGAUAUCUCAAGCCCCUGAUAUCUCGAACUGUGGCUAGCUCGAACCAUUGGUCAUUUUUUUUAACUUCUCUAAUAUGCAAACAAUCUUUUGGUGGUACAAAACUUGUAAAUAGCUUUGAAAAAAGCAAACAUUUAGUAAACUAAAGCUUUUCGUCUGACACUCUUCAGAGUUUAAAACGUCAGAACAUAGAUCGAAAACUCUACGCUAAGAAAUAUAUAUACCCAGUUGUGGAUCGAAAUAGGCCAUCCAGAAACACGAGCACAUGACUGUAAAGGUUGACCAAUCAGUGCCGCUUGCCUAUUAGAAUGUUACCAAUGGAGUCCUAAGGUGAAAACGAACUCCUUUUGUCUACACAGUAGCGGUUUUUUCGUGCUUAUGUAGAUAGAUUCUAAAACUGCUAGGUGGAACGACGAUCGGGCUUUACCAAUAAUCCGAAACAUGUCGCCAUUAUAGUUUUUUGCACAAUCUGGGUUUUCUAGCAAAUGCUGCCCGAUAGCAGAAUCGCAGGUUUUAUUAGUAAUUUUGGAUUUGCAAGACCGAGGUGGCUGUUCUCUUUGGGGAUGUGUUUUGUUUCUAAUAUAAGAUGGAACGUGUUGUUUUAUCCUAUCCUCCAAUCUUUGGGUGGUGCGUCCUACGUAGCCAGAAUCACACUGGCACGUGAAUUCAUACACAACAGAACUUUUUUUUGUGGCAGGAACGCAGUCCUUUUGAAUGGACGGAAGGGCCUUUUUUGUACUGUAAACAACACGUGGGUUAACCGCGAAGAAACAAUUUGUUAUGGCCUGUUUUAUUUGGCUUUCAAAACGUAGGGAGCUGUUACCGAUCCAGGGUAGUUUUAGAUAGACCGGGCACUUUUGAGGACCAAAUUUUACGUCAGCCGAGAAAUUUCCUAUCUUCUCCUUAAUGUAAACUGAAAUAACAUGUUCUGGAUAGCCGUUCUCCAGAAAAAUCUUAGUGAGUUUUUCAAGUUCCGAAUCGAGUUUAGACUUGGAACAAAUCAUCAGUGCCCUAUGUGUGAGCGUUUUGAUGAGGCUGAUUUUUCUUUGUUUUGGGCAAAACGAACUCCAUCGAGUGUAUAACCCCGAAAAUGUGGGUUUACGGUAUACACUGGUGAGAAAUCCAGUGUCAGAUUUUUCAACCAAAACAUCAAGAAAUGGCAAGGAGUUAUUUUCUUCCU